CGAGCACGCGCGUGUGGCAUAUCAAUAAGCGGAGGAAAAGAAACUAACAAGGAUUCCCUUAGUAACGGCGAGUGAAGCGGGAAGAGCUCAAAUUUGAAAUCUUCAAGGUUCUACCUUGACGAAUUGUAGUUUAUAGAAGUGUUUUCUGUUAGUAGAGUGGCAAAAGUUCUUUGGAAUAGGACAUCAUAGAGGGUGAGGAUCCCGUAUUUGGUCAUUCCUCCUAGCUUUGUGAUACACUUUCAACGAGUCGGAUUGUUUGGGAAUGCAGUCCAAAAUGGGUGGUAAAUUUCAUCUAAAGCUAAAUAUUGGCGAGAGACCGAUAGCGAACAAGUACCGUGAGGGCAAGAUGAAAAGAACUUUGAAAAGAGAGUUAAACAGUACGUGAAAUUGUCAAAAGGGAAGCGUUUGACACCAGUGUUGUUUUUCCGAAAAUCAAUUACGAAUGUUUUAUUUUUGAGAAGUUAUGACUUCAUCGGCUUGCUUCUUUCUUUACGAAACUUUCUUAAUGCACUUUUCGGUUAACAAGUCAACAUCAAUUUCUUUUGUUGUAAAAGGGUACGAGGAAGGUGGCUUUCUUUUCGGAGAAAGUGUUUAUAGCCUUGUGACCUCUGCAAUCGGAGAGAUUGAGGUCUGCAGCGUAGAUCCUUCGGGGUUAGAUACAGUUUGUGCUAAGUUAUAGCUUUUCAUAGACAACUUGUUGACUAUGUUAGUCUUGUAGCUUACUCGCUGAUGCUAUUUUACCUACGCUUAGGAUGUUGAGCGCAUGUCUCUCUCU
rnacentral:rRNA from 1 species